GGAACAAAGAGAUGGCAAUCAAAUGAUCAUACCAGUCGAAAACAGAACAUUGCCCACCUGAUCUUGAGGAGAUCGAGGUUGUCAGUUUUAGGAACUUGACCUGGUGAUACAUACCAUACAUGUUGGCAAGAUGUUCCAGCAAUGUGUACACAGUGUUUUGAAGCGGAGACAAGUCAUCUUUUCAGAUGUUCCAGGAAUUCUCUGGAAUUUCUUCUCAGAUGUUUCAGGGAUCCUCUGAAAUUUCCCAAAGUUAGUUCAAGCACCCCUCAUUUCCAGGUUGGAAUCCUAAAGGGGGAAGAAAGUUUGAUAUGUCAGGAGAGGAGUAAGAACUGGAAAACCUAGGGAAGAAAUACGUCAAUAGCUAAGAGAUGAUUAUUGAGAAAAGAGACAAAAAUAAAUCAGAAAUAUGGGCAUUUAUUUAUUGG
rnacentral:lncRNA from 1 species